rnacentral:rRNA from 1 species
UACGUAGGGUGCGAGCGUUGUCCGGAUUUAUUGGGCGUAAAGAGCUCGUAGGCGGUUUGUCGCGUCGGCCGUGAAAUCUCCACGCUUAACGUGGAGCGUGCGGUCGAUACGGGCAGACUUGAGUUCGGUAGGGGAGACUGGAAUUCCUGGUGUAGGAGUGAAAUCCGUAGAUAUUAGGAGGAACACCGGUGGCGAAGGCGGCUAUCUGGACGACAACCGACGCUGAGGCGCGAAAGCACGGGGAUCAAACAGG